CAGAUCUCAGGAGAAGCCUGAGCAAAGGCAUAAACCCACCAACUUGCCAGGAGCCAGGUGCAGACUGGGGAAACUUUGCUUUAGAAGGAUCUGACAUCCAUGGAACUGCAAAUUGAUAAACCUACCAGGAAAAUGAGUAAAAGCAUUAUCAAGGAACUGAGGGACUGCUGCACAAACAGGAAAAGAAAAAUCAACACAUCCUUUGAAGGGAAGAAGUUGGAUCUGAAGGUGAAGAUGCUAAGGAAGAUCAGGUAAAGAUCACAAAAAAAACCAGUAAAGAAGUAUUUCAGAACAAAGAACUGGUAGCCUAUUCUGACUUUAAAAGACCACAUGAAAUAAUUGUGAAUCUGACAGCACACCUUCCCUACUUACACAAGAAAGGACAGGCUAAACCUCUUCUUGCUUUUACCCCUUCUCUUAAAAGCCUCAAGCAAUCUCUCCACAGAACCACAUCCUUCCAAGACUUAAGAAGAGGAUCCCUAAACCUGUUAAAGGCACUUCGCUAACAAAAUGAUUUAGGUAAAUUGUUUCAAGAAGUUUCAGGGAAACUAAAUUUAAACUUCACUUUGAAUUUUAGAGUAUCCACACUUUCAACAUUUGAGAACAAGAAACAAGUAAAUCUGGCUUAGCAAAGAGUAAAGCCAGGCUUUAUUCUUCCUUCCAGCUACAUCGUUCUUCUCAUCAAGUAGUUUUUAAAAAUAGAUUUCUGUGAGAUUCUCUGCAUAAUCACACCACUGAAACUCCUGCUGGGCAGCUGUGUAAAACAGUCGCUUAAACUACCCUGCAUAGGCACGGUGAGUUCUGUACAUGUGGUAUUUUCUACUGUAAGUUCUUAAAG